rnacentral:rRNA from 1 species
CCUACGGGUGGCAGCAGUGGGGAAUAUUGGACAAUGGGCGCAAGCCUGACGCAGCAACGCCGCGUGAAGGAAGAAGGCUUUCGGGUUGUAAACUUCUUUUCUCAGGGACGAAACAAGUGACGGUACCUGAGGAAUAAGCCACGGCUAACUACGUGCCAGCAGCCGCGGUAAUACGUAGGGGGCAAGCGUUAUCCGGAUUUACUGGGUGUAAAGGGCGUGUAGGCGGGAAAGCAAGUCAGAUGUGAAAGCCAUGGGCUAAACCUGUGGCCUGCAUUUGAAACUGUUUAUCUUGAGGACUGGAGAGGCAGACGGAAUUCCUAGGGUAGCGGUGAAAUGCGUAGAUAUUAGGAGGAACACCAGUGGCGAAGGCGGUCUGCUGGACAGAAACUGACGCUGAGGCGCGAAAGCGUGGGGAGCAAACAGGAUUAGAUACCCUAGUAGUC